rnacentral:rRNA from 1 species
CCUACGGGUGGCAGCAGUGAGGAAUAUUGGUCAAUGGACGAGAGUCUGAACCAGCCAAGUAGCGUGAAGGAUGACUGCCCUAUGGGUUGUAAACUUCUUUUAUAUGGGAAUAAAAUGUUCCACGUGUGGGAUUUUGUAUGUACCAUAUGAAUAAGGAUCGGCUAACUCCGUGCCAGCAGCCGCGGUAAUACGGAGGAUCCGAGUGUUAUCCGGAUUUAUUGGGUUUAAAGGGAGCGUAGGUGGAUUGUUAAGUCAGUUGUGAAAGUUUGCGGCUCAACCGUAAAAUUGCAGUUGAAACUGGCAGUCUUGAGUACAGUAGAGGUGGGCGGAAUUCGUGGUGUAGCGGUGAAAUGCUUAGAUAUCACGAAGAACUCCGAUUGCGAAGGCAGUUCACUGGACUGCAACUGACACUGAGGCUCGAAAGUGUGGGUAUCAAACAGGAUUAGAUACCCGUGUAGUC